UACGUAGGGGGCAAGCGUUGUCCGGAUUUAUUGGGCGUAAAGAGAACGUAGGUGGCUUGUUAAGUUCGGUCUUAAAAGACCGGGGCUCAACCCCGGGAAUGGACUGAAAAACUGGCAGGCUAGAGGAUGUCAGAGGAUGGUGGAAUUCCAAGUGUAGCGGUGAAAUGCGUAGAUAUUUGGAGGAACACCUGUGGCGAAAGCGGCCAUCUGGGGGCAUUCCUGACACUGAGGUUCGAAAGCUCGGGGAGCAAACAGG
rnacentral:rRNA from 1 species